GAUUAUUGCAUUUUCGAAUGGAUUGACUAUCGAGGGUACGGUCAGGCCUAAUAAACUUUCUGAUGGAGGUAGUAUUUCAUCACAAAAAAGUCACAAAAAAUUACACAUGCAGUCUACAUCCAUAUGAGCAUUUAGUUUUUUUGGGUUUUUUUUUGAAACUUCAGAAUACCAUUUUGGCACUAUUGAAAAUAUAGUGCUCACUGGAGCGGGUGCACCAAAGUGUUCUUUUGUUGUCUCCCCGUUUCUCGUUUCUGCGAUGAUUACUAGCUUGGUGUUUUGUUGGAGACACAUAAUGGAACAAGAACCCAACUUUACAUUACUAAUGAAAGCACACCGCCAACCCUCUGGCCAGUGGUGAAAGAUUGCAAGCUACGUUUCGUGGGAUGAUGCCCCAACCAUCGGUUUCAUUAGUCACUAGGUCUCGUGGGGUGAUCCUCAACCAUAGGUUUCUUGAGCUGUUUCUAGCGGCACGCCAUUGUGGUCUUCAAAGUUGGUACGGCGAGGGCACUUGCAGAUGUAUCUUUCACUUACUAUCUGUUAAGUGCAAUUUUCAAGUUUC
rnacentral:lncRNA from 1 species